GAUGUUUUGCUGCGCAAGCACCGCACAAUCCGAAACGCGUUGGGCGUAGCAAUCCCUGUUCCAGGAACGGCGGACGAGUUUCUCGAGACUGCUGUCGAUCGCCUCUUCGCUACCGACCGCCUGUUUGUUCCGUCGGUGGAAGGGGAGCAAGGCCAUAUCGAUUUGGACGACGAUGUCGCCUACGCAACCAAUAAAGUUCAAUUGUUUGAGGAAUGGGAUGACGCUGCCGAAAGCGAGCAACAAUCUAAGACUCGGUACGCCCAGCGCACAGUACAUACAGACGAGGUCCGACGCGAGCUGGCAGCUGUGCGAGAGGCGAUCGGUGGCGGAGCUGACGUAGCCAAAUUCAUUGCGCUUGCGAUUAGGG
rnacentral:misc_RNA from 1 species